rnacentral:tRNA from 1 species
CAUUAGAUGUCUGAAGAUUUAAGAAUUGAUUUUUUAAAUCAAAAUAUAGUAUUUAAAAUAUACUUCUAAUGA